CUCAGGACGAACGCUGGCGGCGUGCUUAACACAUGCAAGUCGAACGGAGAUUAUUAAUGAAAGCUUGCGAUUAAUAAUCUAGUGGCGGACGGGUGAGUAACGCGUGGGCAACCUACCCAUAAGAGGGGGAUAACAGUUGGAAACGACUGCUAAUACCGCAUAAGCUAUUAAGGUCGCAUGACCUUAAUAGUAAAGGUGGCGAAAGCUAUCACUUAUGGAUGGGCCCGCGUCUGAUUAGCUAGUUGGUGGGGUAGUGGCCUACCAAGGCGACGAUCAGUAGCCGGCCUGAGAGGGUGGACGGCCACACUGGGACUGAGAUACGGCCCAGACUCCUACGGGAGGCAGCAGUGGGGAAUAUUGGGCAAUGGGCGAAAAACGCCUGACCCAGCAACGCCGCGUGAAGGAAGAAGGUCUUCGGAUUGUAAACUUCUUUAUGAGGGACGAAGGACGUGACGGUACCUCAUGAAUAAGCCACGGCUAACUACGUGCCAGCCGCGGC
rnacentral:rRNA from 1 species